GACUCAUUGGUGUAAUGGUCGGCACGUCCGUACUACAUUGGGCACCGAUGGUAAUAUUUGCAUUGCUCACAUAUGGGAGAUCCUAGUUCGACUCUGGGACGAGUCC